rnacentral:rRNA from 1 species
CCUACGGGCGGCUGCAGUGGGGAAUUGUUCGCAAUGGGCGCAAGCCUGACGACGCAACGCCGCGUGGAGGAUGAAGGUCUUCGGAUCGUAAACUCCUGUCGAUCGGGACGAAUAGCUUCCGGAUCAAUACCCCGGGAGAUUGACGGUACCGGUAGAGGAAGCCACGGCUAACUCUGUGCCAGCAGCCGCGGUAAUACAGAGGGGGCAAGCGUUGUUCGGAAUUACUGGGCGUAAAGGGCGCGUAGGCGGCCUUAUAAGUCUCGUGUGAAAGCCCUAGGCUUAACUGGGGAACUGCACGGGAUACUGGGAGGCUCGGAUUCGGGAGAGGAAAGCGGAACUCCAGGUGUAGCGGUGAAAUGCGUAGAUAUCCGGAGGAACACCAGUGGCGAAGGCGGCUUUCUGGACCGACAUCGACGCUGAGGCGCGAAAGCUAGGGGAGCAAACGGGAUUAGAUACCCGGGUAGUC